rnacentral:lncRNA from 1 species
UUUUCCUUGUCUCUGCCUCCCUAGGAUUCUAAACUGUCACCCCAGCCCAUUAUCAUUCUUUAACACCUUAUUCAAAGUCUAACUGUUUUCUCCUUAGUCACAGCUUGUUGUCUUCUUCGUCCUCCUGCUGCUGUUUCAUGAGAUAUAAACGCAGCCGUGGAUCCCUCCUCUUCAAGCUAAUAGGAAGCCCUAGCAAAAGAUCUGAAGGAGAGAAGUGAGUGAAGUCAGCGUAUUCAUUCUUCUGGGUCCUUCCACUUCAAGGCUGCCUCCGACUGAUUGCGUCCCUAACCAAAGAGGAACAGGUGUUUUUUCUUCACACUUAAGAAGACUGAUUAAAGCAUCCAAGCAGGAACAGGGAGAAAACACAGAAUCCCUUGGGAUUGAUCAAGGGUCUGUGUAAUUACCUUAGGGACUCAUGUGACUGAUGUUUAUGUGGCAUAUAUAUAUAUAUAUUCGAGACUUUUUAAAGGGAUGCAGACUGCUACUUGCGAUAUAAAAGUCAUGAAAAAUUGUUGAGUUAAUGAGAGAGAGAUAAAUUGUAAACCAUGAGAUGGUGAUGGUGAGUAAAGAAUUUAGAAGGCUACUAAGAAUGUGACAUGUCAAGGAUCUCCCCAAGCUGAGCACACAUAUCUCACUGGCUUCCCUCUAUGUACUAGCUGUGUGAACUUGGACAACUUCCAUGAUCCUUAUAUAGCUCCCAGUUUCCUCAGGUGAAAAAUAUGCAAAAGGAGAUUAAAUAGGACUGUCGUGAGAAGUAAAUGAGUUAACCCAUAUUAACAACCUAGGCUCACGCCUGGCACAUGGUAAGUGCUUAGAAAAUGCUACCUAUUAUCUCCACCCAAAUUCCCUUCCCCAGAGUCACCAAAUAAAAAACAAGUGAUCUAAAUUAUAAAUCCAGUCAUUCUAUUCUAGGGAUUUAGUCACUGGAAAAUGUCCAUUUUGUUCAGUAAAGUUUGUGUGUUGUGCUGUUCAGAAAAUUUGCAUAGAAUACAUAGCACUCUAUGUUCCUUCUGGUUUUCAACCACAGUCUUUCAGGUUUCAGGAAAUACAGCAUGGCAUUGAUGAGAGAAAUAAAAUCCGUGUUCAAAUUGGGAAACAUUUGGCAGAUGAAGAGACUUUUGAAGUCUUUUGUAGUGUCAGCACGCAUUACCUAUUUUGGAUUUAAUUCAGACUUCAACAAUUUAAUGUUCUUAGAAGCGGUCUUCUUAAUGUCCACAUUCAGAGAUGUUAUUUCAUAAACAAAACUCUCAGCCUUGUAGAGUAUCAGAAUACGCCACCCCAAACUAUGCUACUUUGAUGUAAGGAUUAUUUUGAGCUGAAGGAAAUUGAAGAGAAGCAGAGGCAAGAAGACCUCUCUGCCUUCCCUCUAUUUGCCUAAAAGCAAGACAGAAAUUUGCAAAUUUGUCCCCCUCUCGUCUCUACCAGGAAGGACAGAAGUUAAUUACUGGAGACAAUUUCAGACCUUUAUGAACCUGGAGACAGCACCAGAGGAAUCUCCAUGGCAAACCUUGAUAAAGGCAGCCCUCAUCUACCAUUAGUUUUCCUUUUCCGUAUAUUUGCCUUCCUACAAUUUGCCACCCUAGAAACUUGAAGUCCUUUUCCUGUGUCUUCUCACUUCUCUAAGAAUUUAUUGUUCUUUUGUCAAGAUGUUAUUCAGCCCAAGUUCUAACCAUCCCUUGGAGUUACUCCGUGUCUGGGUAUUCUCGUGUGUGUGCACAACACACCUGCUAAUAAACUGCUGUCUGCUUUUCUCCUGUUAAUCUGUCUUUGGU